rnacentral:rRNA from 1 species
UUUUUAAUUAAGAUCUUGUAUGAAUGAUUGAACAAGAGAAAAACUGUCUUUAUAUUAGAGUUUGAAUUUAACUUUUAAGUGAAAAGGCUUAAAUAUUCUAAAGGGACGAUAAGACCCUAUAAAACUUUACAUUGAUAAUUAGUAUAUUAUUUAAUUUUUAUUAUAAUAAUUAGAUUUAAUUUCUUUGUUUUGUUGGGGCGACAAAAGUUAUAAUUUAUAUUAACUGCUUAACAAUGAAACAAAAAUAAGUGAGUAUGUUUAUAGGUCCUUUAUUAAGAUUACAAGAUUAAGUUACUUUAGGGAUAACAGA